UGUUCUGUGGCGUAGUUGGUUAACGCGCACCCUUUUGAGCGAUUUCGGGAGACGUUGGUUCAAAUCCCGCCAGAACCA
rnacentral:tRNA from 1 species